rnacentral:rRNA from 1 species
UUGACCUCGGAUCAGGUAGGGAUACCCGCUGAACUUAAGCAUAUCAAUAAGCGGAGGAAAAGAAACCAACAGGGAUUGCCCUAGUAACGGCGAGUGAAGCGGCAACAGCUCAAAUUUGAAAUCUGGCUCUUUCAGAGUCCGAGUUGUAAUUUGCAGAGGGCGCUUUGGCUUUGGCAGCGGUCCAAGUUCCUUGGAACAGGACGUCACAGAGGGUGAGAAUCCCGUACGUGGUCGCUAGCUAUUGCCGUGUAAAGCCCCUUCGACGAGUCGAGUUGUUUGGGAAUGCAGCUCUAAAUGGGAGGUAAAUUUCUUCUAAAGCUAAAUAUUGGCCAGAGACCGAUAGCGCACAAGUAGAGUGAUCGAAAGAUGAAAAGCACUUUGGAAAGAGAGUCAAACAGCACGUGAAAUUGUUGAAAGGGAAGCGCUUGCAGCCAGACUUGCUUGCAGUUGCUCAUCCGGGCUUUUGCCCGGUGCACUCUUCUGCAGGCAGGCCAGCAUCAGUUUGGGCGGUGGGAUAAAGGUCUCUGUCACGUACCUUCCUUCGGGUUGGCCUUAUAGGGGAGACGCCAUACCACCAGCCUGGACUGAGGUCCGCGCAUCUGCUAGAUGCGGCUAGU